rnacentral:lncRNA from 1 species
AGCGAAACAAGCCCUUCCAUAGACUGCCCAUCCUGCGGAGGGUUCAGCCGGAUUGUGAAGGACAGAGGUCGACGGGCCGGGCCCGGACUCCACGAUAAAUGUUUUCAAACGGUGGGAUUCGAGACUCGAACUCGGGUCCUCCAGAAUGGAAAGCCGAAGCGUUUCCACGCGGCCAAUCCGGCCUGAUAAAAGCACUUAAACAUCAUUUCAAUUUAGAUUUUUUUUAUAUUAAAUUCACAUUCUUGAUUCAUAUUUUAUAUCUGAAAAAUGUAUUCCUUUUACUGAGAAGAAAAUAUUCUAUUGCAC